GGAAAGUUUUUUCGGUUGGGGAUGGGCUCGCGGCCUAUCAGUUUGUUGGUGAGGUAAUGGCUCACCAAGACGACGACGGGUAGCCGGCCUGAGAGGGCGACCGGCCACACUGGGACUGAGACACGGCCCAGACUCCUACGGGAGGCAGCAGUGGGGAAUAUUGCACAAUGGGGGAAACCCUGAUGCAGCGACGCAGCGUGCGGGAUGACGGCCUUCGGGUUGUAAACCGCUUUCAGCAGGGAAGAAGCCCCUUGGGGUGACGGUACCUGCAGAAGAAGUACCGGCUAACUACGUGCCAGCAGCCGCGGUAAUACGUAGGGUACAAGCGUUGUCCGGAAUUAUUGGGCGUAAAGAGCUCGCAGGUGGUUGGUCACGUCUGCUGUGGAAACGCAACGCUUAACGUUGCGCGUGCAGUGGGUACGGGCUGACUAGAGUGCAGUAGGGGAGUCUGGAAUUCCUGGUGUAGCGGUGAAAUGCGCAGAUAUCAGGAGGAACACCGGUGGCGAAGGCGGGACUCUGAGCUGUAACUGACACUGAGGAGCGAAAGCAUGGGGAGCGAACAGGAUUAGAUACCCUGGUAGUCCAUGCCGUAAACGUUGGGCACUAGGUGUGGGGGACAUUCCACGUUCUCCGCGCCGUAGCUAACGCAUUAAGUGCCCCGCCUGGGGAGUACGGUCGCAAGGCUAAAACUCAAAGGAAUUGACGGGGGCCCGCACAAGCGGCGGAGCAUGCGGAUUAAUUCGAUGCAGCGCGAAGAACCUUACCAAGGCUUGACAUACACCAGACCGUUCUGGAAACAGUUCCUCCCCUUUGGGGUUGGUGUACAGGUGGUGCAUGGUUGUCGUCAGCUCGUGUCGUGAGAUGUUGGGUUAAGUCCCGCAACGAGCGCAACCCUCGUUCUAUGUUGCCAGCACGUGAUGGUGGGAACUCAUAGGAGACUGCCGGGGUCAACUCGGAGGAAGGUGGGGAUGACGUCAAAUCAUCAUGCCCUUUAUGUCUUGGGCUUCACGCAUGCUACAAUGGCUGGUACAGAGAGAUGCGAGACCGCGAGGUUUUAGCGAAUCCCUUAAAGCCAGUCUCAGUUCGGAUCGUAGUCUGCAAUUCGACUACGUGAAGUCGGAGUCGCUAGAAUCGCAGAUCAG
rnacentral:rRNA from 1 species